GUUGAGGUAUAUGAUCUUACUUUUGAAUUGAAGAUUAUAAUAUUAACUUUGCCAGAUGGUGUAAUGUUUGCACUGGAGAUUUUCGAGUAUGUCCAAGAAGUUGAUUGUCAUCCUAAUAUAUUCAUUGCCUACCGCAUCUUAUUUACUAUGACUGUGACUGGCUUACAAAGUUGA
rnacentral:rRNA from 1 species